UGUAGAAGUCAUGAAUAAAAUG
rnacentral:miRNA from 1 species